rnacentral:rRNA from 1 species
GAUGAACGCUGGCGGCGUGCCUAAUACAUGCAAGUCGAGCGAACGGACGAGAGGCUUGCUUCUCUGAUGUUAGCGGCGGACGGGUGAGUAACACGUGGAUAACCUACCUAUAAGACUGGGAUAACUUCGGGAAACCGGAGCUAAUACCGGAUAAUAUUUUGAACCGCAUGGUUCAAAAGUGAAAGACGGUCUUGCUGUCACUUAUAGAUGGAUCCGCGCUGCAUUAGCUAGUUGGUAAGGUAACGGCUUACCAAGGCAACGAUGCAUAGCCGACCUGAGAGGGUGAUCGGCCACACUGGAACUGAGACACGGUCCAGACUCCUACGGGAGGCAGCAGUAGGGAAUCUUCCGCAAUGGGCGAAAGCCUGACGGAGCAACGCCGCGUGAGUGAUGAAGGUCUUCGGAUCGUAAAACUCUGUUAUUAGGGAAGAACAUAUGUGUAAGUAACUGUGCACAUCUUGACGGUACCUAAUCAGAAAGCAACGGCUAACUACGUG